rnacentral:rRNA from 1 species
GAGAAAUUCCGACUAAUACCGCAUACGUCCUUUGGGGGUAUCCCCGGGGGAUGAAAGAAUUAUCGGUGAAGGAUGGGCAUGCGUGAUAUUAGGUAGUUGGCGGGGCAACGGCCCACCAAGCCUACGAUAUCUAGGGGUUCUGAGAGGAAGGUCCCCCACAUUGGUACUGAGACACGGUCCAAACUCCUACGGGAGGCGGCAGUGAGGAAUAUUGGUCAAUGGACGAGAGUCUGAACCAGCCAAGUAGCGUGCAGGAUGACGGCCCUAUGGGUUGUAAACUGCUUUUAUAAGGGAAUAAAGUGAGUCUCGUGAGAUUUUUUGCAUGUACCUUAUGAAUAAGGACCGGCUAAUUCUGUGCCAGCAGCCGCGGUAAUACGGAGGGUCCGGGCGUUAUCCGGAUUUAUUGGGUUUAAAGGGAGCGUAGGCCGGAGAUUAAGCGUGUUGUGAAAUGUAGAUGCUCAACAUCUGCACUGCAGCGCGAACUGGUUUCCUUGAGUACGCACAAAGUGGGCGGAAUUCGUGGUGUAGCGGUGAAAUGCUUAGAUAUCACGAAGAACUCCGAUUGCGAAGGCAGCUCACUGGAGCGCAACUGACGCUGAAGCUCGAAAGUGCGGGUAUCGAACG